GAAUUCAACUCCUACGGGAGGCAGCAGUGUGGAAUAUUGCACAAUGGGCGCAAGCCUGAUGCAGCGACGCCGCGUGAGGGAUGACGGCCUUCGGGUUGUAAACCUCUGUUAGCAUCGAAGAAGCGAAAGUGACGGUAGGUGCAGAGCAAGCGCCGGCUAACUACGUGCCAGCAGCCGCGGUAAUACGUAGGGCGCGAGCGUUGUCCGGAAUUAUUGGGCGUAAAGAGCUUGUAGGCGGUUGGUCGCGUCUGCUGUGAAAGGCUGGGGCUUAACCCUGGUUUUGCAGUGGGUACGGGCUAACUAGAGUGCAGUAGGGGAGACUGGAAUUCCUGGUGUAGCGGUGGAAUGCGCAGAUAUCAGGAGGAACACCGAUGGCGAAGGCAGGUCUCUGGGCUGUAACUGACGCUGAGAAGCGAAAGCAUGGGGAGCGAACAGGAUUAGAAACCCUAGUAGUCCAGGCGUU
rnacentral:rRNA from 1 species